AUGUUUUUGAACAGAGUGCCCAUUGGAUCGUCUCUACACAGUACAGUUCAAAAGAACUUUGUUCGGGGUCUGGCUAAUUUUCUUUCUCUCAUUUUCUUUUCUUCUUUUUCCCUGUCACUAUUGUUGAAGUGUCACAUGGGCAUCUCUCUCAUCUCCCAGAUUGAUGGUAUCAUCGAGGACUUCCCACAUAAACAAGAUAAACGAAAGGCUUCCACCGACAGGUGGGAAAACUUUGGACAUUGGAAACUUCUGUGCCCAGUGAAGUCAUGA
rnacentral:lncRNA from 1 species